AACGAACGCUGGCGGCAUGCCUAACACAUGCAAGUCGAACGAUCCCUUCGGGGAUAGUGGCGCACGGGUGCGUAACGCGUGGGAACCUGCCCUUAGGUUCGGAAUAACUCAGAGAAAUUUGAGCUAAUACCGGAUAAUGUCUUCGGACCAAAGAUUUAUCGCCUUUGGAUGGGCCGGCGUUGGAUUAGCUAGUUGGUGGGGUAAAGGCCUACCAAGGCGACGAUCCAUAGCUGGUUAGAGAGAAUGAUCAGCCACACUGGGACUGAGACGCGGCCGGGACUCCUACGGGAGGGGGGAAAGGGGAACAUUGGAAAAUGGCGGAAGGCCUGAUCCACCACGGCCGGGUAAAUGAUGAAGUCCUUAGGGUUCAAAUGCUUUUUUACCCGGGAUGAUAAUGACGGUACCGGAUCAAAAAGCCCCGGCUAACUACGUG
rnacentral:rRNA from 1 species